rnacentral:rRNA from 1 species
CCCUUAGAUGUUCUGGGCCGCACGCGCGCUACACUGAUGCAUUCAACAAGCCUAGCCUUGACCGAGAGGUCCGGGUAAUCUUUGAAACUGCAUCGUGAUGGGGCUAGAUUAUUGCAAUUAUUAAUCUUCAACGAGGAAUGCCUAGUAAGCGUGAUUCAUCAAAUCGCGUUGAUUACGUCCCUGCUCUUUGUACACACCGCCCGUCGCUCCUACCGAUUGAAUGUGUUGGUGAGGAGCUCGGAUUGGCAGCAGUUGGUGGUUCGCCACCGGCUAUUGCUGAGAAGUCCUCCAAACCGCCCCAUUUAGAGGAAGGAGAAGUCGUAACA